rnacentral:tRNA from 1 species
CCCAGUGUGACAUAGUGGUUUGAGCGUUGGACUAUGACUCUAGAUACCAGGGUUCGAUUCCCAGCUUGGUCA